UGGGGAAUAUUGCACAAUGGGCGCAAGCCUGAUGCAGCCAUGCCGCGUGUAUGAAGAAGGCCUUCGGGUUGUAAAGUACUUUCAGCGGGGAGGAAGGGAGUAAAGUUAAUACCUUUGCUCAUUGACGUUACCCGCAGAAGAAGCACCGGCUAACUCCGUGCCAGCAGCCGCGGUAAUACGGAGGGUGCAAGCGUUAAUCGGAAUUACUGGGCGUAAAGCGCACGCAGGCGGUUUGUUAAGUCAGAUGUGAAAUCCCCGGGCUCAACCUGGGAACUGCAUUCGAAACUGGCAGGCUAGAGUCUUGUAGAGGGGGGUAGAAUUCCAGGUGUAGCGGUGAAAUGCGUAGAGAUGUGGAGGAAUACCGGUGGCGAAGGCGGCCCCCUGGACAAAGACUGACGCUCAGGUGCGAAAGCGUGGGGAGCAAACAGG
rnacentral:rRNA from 1 species